rnacentral:misc_RNA from 1 species
UCAAUAAUCUUGGCUUGUCCAUUAUUAUCUAUUUACUGUGAACUGUAUUAUUAUUUGACGUUUGAGGGAUGUUCCAAUGUUAUAAGGAUAGACAUUGGAAAUGUUAACCGAGUCAUAAUCAGGUUUAGGCCUGGUAUCCUAUUAUUAUUUACCAAAUGAAUUCAGAAUUAAUAUUGUAACAUAGACCUAAAAAAUCUAUAAAACAACUUUUAACAACGGAUCUCUUGGUUCUCGCAUCGAUGAAGAACGUAGCAAAGUGCGAUAACUAGUGUGAAUUGCAUAUUCAGUGAAUCAUCGAGUCUUUGAACGCAACUUGCGCUCAUUGGUAUUCCAAUGAGCACGCCUGUUUCAGUAUCAAAACAAACCCUCUAUUCAACUUUUGUUGUAUAGGAUUAUUGGGGGCCUCUCG